UUGCUCUUUUGGGCAGCACAUAUACUAAAGUCGGAACAAUACAGAGAAGAUUAGCACAGCCCCUUUGCGAGGAUGGCACACACGUUUGUGAAAUGUUCCAUUAAAAA